UACAUGGGGUGCAAACGUUGCUCGGAAUUAUUGGGCGUAAAGCGCGCGUAGGCGGUUACUCAAGUCGGAUGUGAAAGCCCUCGGCUUAACCUGGGAACUGCAUUCGAGACUGCAUUGCUAGAGUAUGGGAGAGGGAAGUGGAAUUUCCGGUGUAGCGGUGAAAUGCGUAGAUAUCGGAAGGAACAUCAGUGGCGAAAGCGACUUCCUGGACCAAUACUGACGCUCAUGUGCGAAAGCGUGGGGAGCAAACAGG
rnacentral:rRNA from 1 species